AGAAUCAACGCUGGCGGCGUGCCUAACACAUGCAAGUCGAACGAGAAAGUGGAGCAAUCCAUGAGUACAGUGGCGACCGGGUGAGUAACACGUGACUACCUACCCUUGAGUGGGGGAUAACCUCGGGAAACCGAGGCUAAUACCGCAUAAUAUCGAGAGAUCAAAGGAGUAAUCCGCUUUUGGAGGGGGUCGCGGCUGAUUAGCUAGUUGGUAGGGUAAUGGCCUACAAAGGCGAAGAUCGGUAUCCGGCCUGAGAGGGCGCACGGACACACUGGAACUGAAACACGGUCCAGACUCCUACGGGAGGCAGCAGUGGGAAUUUGCGCAAUGGGGGAAACCCUGACGCAGCAACGCCGCGUGGAGGAUGAGGCCCCUUGGGGUGUAAACUCCGUUUCGACCGGGAAAAUAAUGAUGGUACCGGUGGAAGAGCACCGGCUAACUCUGUGCCAGCAGCCGC
rnacentral:rRNA from 1 species